rnacentral:piRNA from 1 species
UGCCAUAUUGAACCGUUUCUGCACUA